CAAUAGCGUAUAUUAAAGUUGUUGCGGUUAAAAAGCUCGUAGUUGGAUUUCUGUUGAGGACGACCGGUCCGCCCUCUGGGUGAGUAUCUGGCUCGGCCUUGGCAUCUUCUUGGAGAACGUAACUGCACUUGACUGUGUGGUGCGGUAUCCAGGACUUUUACUUUGAGGAAAUUAGAGUGUUUCAAGCAGGCGUACGCCUUGAAUACAUUAGCAUGGAAUAACACUAUAGGACUCCUGUCCUAUUUCGUUGGUCUCGGGACGGGAGUAAUGAUUAAGAGGAACAGUUGGGGGCAGUUCGUAUUUCAUUGUCAGAGGUGAAAUUCUUGGAUUUGUUAAAGAUCGGACUACUGCGAAAGCAUUUGCCAAGGAUGUUUUCUAUUGAUCAAGAACGAAAGUUAGGGGAUCGAAGACGAUCAGAUACC
rnacentral:rRNA from 1 species